rnacentral:rRNA from 1 species
AAAGCUCGUAGUUGAAUUUCGAGAUCAGUACGCUGGUCGUGCCUUCGGUAUGCACUGGUGUCACUGGUUUCUCCCUUCUGAAGAACCGUCAUGUCAUUAAGUUGGUGUGGCGGGGAAUCAGGACUGUUACUUUGAAAAAAUUAGAGUGUUUAAAGCAGGCUCGCGCUUGAAUACAUUAGCAUGGAAUAAUGAAAUAGGACGUUUGACCCUAUUUUGUUGGUUUCUAGGAUCGACGUAAUGAUUAAUAGGGAUAGUUGGGGGCAUUAGUAUUCAAUUGUCAGAGGUGAAAUUCUUGGAUUUAUUGAAGACUAACUACUGCGAAAGCAUUUGCCAAGGAUGUUUUCAUUAAUCAAGAACGAAAGUUAGGGGAUCGAAGACGAUCAGAUACCGUCGUAGUCUUAACCAUAAACUAUGCCGACUAGGGAUCGGAUGAUGUUAAUUUUUUAAUGACUCAUUCGGCA